rnacentral:lncRNA from 1 species
AGUAACUCAAAUUUCAUCUAAUUCUUUUAAUUUUGCCAAUCGAUAUUGUACGGACUCUUUAUCACUUAGUCAUUCAUCUAGUGUAAUUUCUAAAUUUUAGACUUCCAAUUCAAUUACUAAAAUUACUUAUUGCCCAAAAAUCAAUUUGAAUGAGGUAGAAUUGGUUAUCACUUUAUACGUUGUACGAUAUGUCCAUAAGGCUGCAAAUAAUUUGGUAUCCUAAUCUAUGCUUGCCUCGAAAAUAGUCUUAAUUAAUAUCUUGCAUAAAAUACCAUCG